CGAAAAUCAUAAACAACAAUGAGAGCGGUCAGAGAAAUAUAAUA
rnacentral:misc_RNA from 1 species